GCUCGUGUAGCUUACAUAAAAGCAUAACACUGAAGAUGUUAAGAUGAGUCCUAAUAAGGCUCCACAGGCA
rnacentral:tRNA from 1 species